rnacentral:rRNA from 1 species
GCUGGCGGCGUGCCUAACACAUGCAAGUCGAGCGAGAAAAGGGGGGCAACUCCCUGAGUACAGCGGCGCACGGGUGAGUAACACGUAGGUAACCUGCCCUCGAGCCUGGGAUAACCUACCGAAAGGUGGGCUAAUACCGGAUAUGACCACGGGAGUUACGGCUUCUGCGGUGAAAGAUGGCCUCUGCUUGCACGCCAUUUCUCGAGGAUGGGCCUGCGCGCCAUUAGCUAGUUGGCGGGGUAAUGGCCCACCAAGGCUAUGAUGGCUAGCUGGUCUGAGAGGAUGACCAGCCACACUGGGACUGGAACACGGCCCAGACUCCUACGGGAGGCAGCAGUGGGGGAUAUUGCGCAAUGGGCGAAAGCCUGACGCAGCGACGCCGCGUGGGUGAUGAAGGCCUUCGGGUCGUAAAGCCCUGUC